rnacentral:rRNA from 1 species
UACGUAGGGAGCAAGCGUUGUCCGGAUCAUUGGGCGUAAAGCGCGCGUAGGUGGCUUCGUAAGUCCGUUGUGAAAGUCAAAGGCUCAACCUUUGAAAGCCGAUGGAUACUGCGGAGCUAGAGUACGGAAGAGGCGAGUGGAAUUCCUGGUGUAGCGGUGGAAUGCGCAGAUAUCAGGAGGAACACCAAUAGCGAAGGCAGCUCGCUGGGACGUUACUGACACUGAGGCGCGAAAGCGUGGGGAGCGAACAGG